rnacentral:rRNA from 1 species
UGGAAGUAAAAGUCGUAACAAGGUCUCCGUUGGUGAACCAGCGGAGGGAUCAUUACCGAGUUAUUCAACUCAUCAACCCUGUGAACAUACCUAAACGUUGCUUCGGCGGGAAUAGACGGCCCCGUGAAACGGGCCGCCCCCGCCAGAGGACCCUUAACUCUGUUUCUAUAAUGUUUCUUCUGAGUAAAACAAGCAAAUAAAUUAAAACUUUCAACAACGGAUCUCUUGGCUCUGGCAUCGAUGAAGAACGCAGCGAAAUGCGAUAAGUAAUGUGAAUUGCAGAAUUCAGUGAAUCAUCGAAUCUUUGAACGCACAUUGCGCCCGCCAGUAUUCUGGCGGGCAUGCCUGUUCGAGCGUCAUUACAACCCUCAGGCCCCCGGGCCUGGCGUUGGGGAUCGGCGGAGCCCCCCGUGGGCACACGCCGUCCCCCAAAUACAGUGGCGGUCCCGCCGCAGCUUCCAUCGCGUAGUAGCUAACACCUCGCGACUGGAGAGCGGCGCGGCCACGCCGUAAAACACCCAACUCUUCUGAAGU